AUGCUUGUCUCAAAGAUUAAGCCAUGCAUGUCUAAGUUCACACCCUUGUACGGUGAAACCGCGAAUGGCUCAUUAAAUCAGUCGAGGUUCCUUAGAUGAUUCUUUUCUACUUGGAUAACUGUGGUAAUUCUAGAGCUAAUACAUGCUUUUCCGCUCCGACCUUCCCAGGAAAGAGCGCUUUUAUUAGUUCAAAACCAGUCGGGACCUUCGGGUCUCGUAUUUUGGUGACUCUGGAUAACUUUGUGCCGAUCGCAUGGCCUUGAGCUGGCGACGCAUCUUUCAAAUGUCUGCCCUAUCAAAUGACGAUGGUCGGUGAUCUGCCUACCAUGUUGGCUACGGGUAGCGGAGAAUCGGGGUUCGAUUCCGGAGAGGGAGCAUGAGAAACGGCUACCACAUCCAAGGAAGGCAGCAGGCGCGCAACUUACCCACUCCUGGCACAGGGAGGUAGUGACGAAAAAUAACAAUACGGAACUCGAAAGAGGCUUCGUAAUUGGAAUGAGUACACUUUAAACCCUUUAACGAGGAUCUAUUGGAGGGCAAGUCUGGUGCCAGCAGCCGCGGUAAUUCCAGCUCCAAUAGCGUAUACUAAAGUUGUUGCGAUUAAAAAGCUCGUAGUUGGAUCUCAGGUAUGGGCGCGCGGUCCGUCUCGCGACGGUUACUGCGUGAAAUCUUGU
rnacentral:rRNA from 1 species